CAAAUGGUAGAGCGCUCGCUUAGCAUGCGA
rnacentral:piRNA from 1 species